rnacentral:rRNA from 1 species
GACGAACGCUGGCGGCGUGCUUAACACAUGCAAGUCGAGCGGUAAGGCCCUUUCGGGGGUACGACGAGCGGCGAACGGGUGAGUAACACGUGGGUGACCUGCCCUCAGCUCUGGGAUAAGCCUGGGAAACCGGGUCUAAUACCGGAUAUGACUCCAUGACGCAUGUUGUGGGGUGGAAAGCCUUGUGCGGCUGAGGAUGGGCCCGCGGCCUAUCAGCUUGUUGGUGGGGNGAUGGCCUACCAAGGCGACGACGGGUAGCCGGCCUGAGAGGGCGACCGGCCACACUGGGACUGAGACACGGCCCAGACUCCUACGGGAGGCAGCAGUGGGGAAUCUUGCGCAAUGGGCGAAAGCCUGACGCAGCGACGCCGCGUGA